GUAGUACUCCCUCCGUCCCAAAAUUCUUGUCUUACAUUUGUUUAGAUACAGAUGUAUCUAAGACUGAAAUGUAACUAGAUACAUCCGUAUUUAGACAAAUUUAAGACAAGACUUUUGGGACAGAGGGAGUAAAAA
rfam:Triticum aestivum genome assembly, contig: Triticum_aestivum_CS42_TGACv1_scaffold_579062_7BL